rnacentral:rRNA from 1 species
GUGUACAAGGCCCGGGAACGUAUUCACCGUGGCAUUCUGAUCCACGAUUACUAGCGAUUCCGACUUCAUGGAGUCGAGUUGCAGACUCCAAUCCGGACUACGACGCACUUUAUGAGGUCCGCUUGCUCUCGCGAGGUCGCUUCUCUUUGUAUGCGCCAUUGUAGCACGUGUGUAGCCCUGGUCGUAAGGGCCAUGAUGACUUGACGUCAUCCCCACCUUCCUCCAGUUUAUCACUGGCAGUCUCCUUUGAGUUCCCGGCCGGACCGCUGGCAACAAAGGAUAAGGGUUGCGCUCGUUGCGGGACUUAACCCAACAUUUCACAACACGAGCUGACGACAGCCAUGCAGCACCUGUCUCACAGUUCCCGAAGGCACCCUCGUAUCUCUACAAGGUUCUGUGGAUGUCAAGACCAGGUAAGGUUCUUCGCGUUGCAUCGAAUUAAACCACAUGCUCCACCGCUUGUGCGGGCCCCCGUCAAUUCAUUUGAGUUUUAACCUUGCG